GUGCUCCCCUCAGUACCACAUAUACCCAAAGAGGAAUGGUACAGAGCAGCAUGGCCCCUGUGCAAGGGUGACACGCAAACCUGAAAUGGCUAUGCGGUUAGU
ensembl:snRNA U6 U6 spliceosomal RNA